rnacentral:rRNA from 1 species
AGUGAACGCUGGCGGUAGGCCUAACACAUGCAAGUCGAACGGCAGCACAGUAAUAGCUUGCUCUUACGGGUGGCGAGUGGCGGACGGGUGAGGAAUACAUCGUAAUCUACUUUUUCGUGUGGGUUAACGUAGGGAAACUUACGCUAAUACCGCAUACGACCUACGGUUGAAAGCAGGGGAUCUUCGGACCUUGCGCGAUUGAAUUAGCCGAUGUCGGAUUAGCUAGUUGGCGGGGUAAAGGCCCACCAAGGCGACGAUCCGUAGCUGGUCUGAGAGGAUGAUCAGCCACACUGGAACUGAGACACGGACAAGACGACUACGAGAGGCAGCAGUGGGGAAUAUUGGACAAUGGGGGCAAGCCUGAUACAGCCAUACCGCGUGGGUGAAGAAGGCCUUCGGGUUGUAAAGACCUUUUGUUGGGAAAGAAAAGCAGCAGGUUAAGACCCCGCUGUUCUGACGGUAACCAAAGAAUAAGCACCGGCUAACUUCGUG